rnacentral:rRNA from 1 species
GAGAGAGACAUGCGCGCAUAUCAAUAAGCGGAGGAAAAGAAACUAACAAGGAUUCCCCUAGUAACGGCGAGUGAAGCGGGAAGAGCUCAAAUUUGAAAUCUUAAAGGGUUUCCCUUUACGAAUUGUAGUUUAAAGAAGUGUUUUCUGUUGAGGUUUUGGUAAAAGUUCUUUGGAAUAGGACAUCAUAGAGGGUGAGAAUCCCGUAUUUGACCUUUACUUUCAACUUUGUGAUACACUUUCAAAGAGUCGGAUUGUUUGGGAAUGCAGUCCAAAAUGGGUGGUAAAUUUCAUCUAAAGCUAAAUAUUGGCGAGAGACCGAUAGCGAACAAGUACCGUGAGGGAAAGAUGAAAAGAACUUUGAAAAGAGAGUUAAACAGUACGUGAAAUUGUCAAAAGGGAAGCGUUUGACACCAGUGUUGUUUUUCUGAAAAUCAAUUAAAGAACUGUUUAUGCUAAGCUGUUUAGACUUUAUCAGCUAUCUGUUUAGUUUUGAGCUUUUCUUUAAUGCACUUUUAGUUAACAAGUCAACAUCAAUUUCUUUUGCUGUAAAAAAGCUUGAGGAAGGUGGCUUGAGAUUCGUCUUAAGUGUUUAUAGCCUCUUGCCUAUGCAGUCGGAGAGAUUGAGGUCUGCAGCGUAGAUCCUUCGGGGCUAAAUGCAUUUGUGCUAAGUUAUAGCAUUUUAUAGACAACUUGUUGACUAUGAUUUGUCUUGUAGCUUACUCGCUUAUGUUAUUUUACCUACGCUUAGGAUGUUGACGCAUGAGAUAUACGC